UCUCCUCGCCAGCCCAUCCUGUGCCCUCCCCGCCGCACUCCCUCUGCCCCCAAAACUAUCUGAGGCUCCUGGGAGGGAGGAGAAGCCAGAGCAGCCACCUCCAGUCCAGAACUUCCAGGAAUGGGAUAGGGGAGAGACAAGGAGAGGGAGAAAGGAGUGAAGAAGACCCUGAGACCGGGCGGCUAAGAGGGAAGUGCUAACAGAACUGAAUUGGGGUAAAGAUGACUCCAAAACAACUAGAAGGAUUUAGUUGCACUAACUGAGAUGGGGAAGACUCUGGGAGGGACUAGUUUGCAGGGGAAGAUGAGUCCAUGUUGGACAUGAGACUGACACUCCAGUCCUUACUGAUUGAGAUGAGGCCCCUUCUGAGCUGCUGUCCAGGAGUGGAGGUGGUUGGCCACAUACUCAGCCCAAGCCAGUUUCCCUCUGGACUAUGUGGGACAAUGUGGCAGGGUACUGGGUAGAGCUUUACUGCAAAAAUAAACAAGGAAAGAGAAUCA